ensembl:rRNA 5S_rRNA 5S ribosomal RNA
UUCUAUGGCCAUACAACCCUGAACACAACCAAUUUCCUUUGAUCUUGGAAGCUAAGCAGGGUCAGGCCUGGUUAGUACUUGGAUGGGGGGUGGGAAUAAGUACAAUCCAAA